AGACACGGCCCACACUCCUACGGGAGGCAGCAGUGGGGAAUAUUGCACAAUGGGCGCAAGCCUGAUGCAGCCAUGCCGCGUGUGUGAAGAACGCCUUCGGGUUGUAAAGCACUUUCAGUGGUGAGGAAGGUCAGUAAGUUAAUAGCUUGCUGAAUUGACGUUAGCCACAAAAGAAGCACCGGCUAACUCCGUGCGGGGCAGCCGCGGUAAUACGGAGGGUGCAAGCGUUAAUCGGUAUUACUGGGCRUAAAGCGUACGUACGCGGUGUGUUAAGCAAGAUGUGAAAGCCCCGGGCUCAACCUGGGAAUUGCAUUUUGAACUGGCACGCUAGAGUCCUGAAGAGGGUGGUAGAUUUUCCAGUGUAGCGGUGAUAUGCGUAGAUAUUGGAAGGUAUACCAGUGGCGAGGGCGGCCACCUGGUCAGACACUGACUCUGAUGUACGAAAGCGUGGGGAGCAAACAGGAUUAGAUACCCUGAUAGUCCACGCCGUAAACGAUGUCAUCUACGUGUUCGUGUCACUAAGACGUGAGUAACGCAGCUAACGCACUAUGUUGACCGCCUGGGGAGUACGGCCGCAAUGUUAAAACUCAAAUGAAUUGACGGGGGCCCGCACACGCGGUGGAGCAUGUGGUUUUAUUCGAUGCAACGC
rnacentral:rRNA from 1 species